UAAGAACCUAACACAGUGCCUGGUCCUACCUCCGGGCGCGUUGGACGGCUAGCUUUGGACCGCUACCGUCGCGAUAGGUUCCAUGCCUCAGGCACAAUAAUGCUAUGCGCCCCAGCCAUAGGCUGUUGCAUGUAGCCCGACAGCUGCAUAACACCUGUCAGGUAUGUUUGAUAGACAUAAAAAGAUCCCAUGUAUAUUUCUUGUAAUAGCUCGCAGCACAUUUCACAGCACAGCAGAUGCAUGUUCAGGCUAUAUGUAAUGCAUAUAUAUGCAUACUAUAUAUAUAUGGUCAGAAUAUUGUUGCACUCAAUAGUUCUAUCGCCAGUCAGUGGCCGUAUUUACUCCAUGUUCUAUCUCAACUCUGCUGAAAAGAGUUGGCGGCAGCGGGGUUCGAUCCCACACCUGGACAUCGUGGCGCGUGCAUGGGUCUGCGCUUUGCCUGAUAGCUCGAAAAUGAGCGCCACGGCGCACACUUUUAAUCUCGGAAAUCGAAAGAGAAUUGUUCAAGCUUCAUUUCUGAGCACUUUUUAUGCAUAUAUAUCUUCAAAAUUUAGAAAGCCAUGGGCCUGAAGAAGGUCAUUUUAACAUGGAAACCCUAUGGCUGGUCGUGAAAUGUGCACCAUUGCUGCCAUAUUUUAUACUAGACUUUGGACCACCCGUGCCUAAGGAGGUGUUGUAUUGCCCUGCGAUGGAAAUGGACUUCAUCAAAGGUCAGCUGGGUUUUGCAUACAUGCUUCCAAUGCAUGGUGCACAUGGAAGUGGUUGCAUCAAUGAAGGGCAAGGAUACAGCACUGAUCAGGGGGAGAUAUUUGUGAAGUCCUCUCAAGAUCACAGUGAUGGACAGGAGAUGUUUGCUGGGGAGCUUGCCGGGCUGCAGGCUAUCAUUGCCACUAGCACUGUGCGGUGUCCACGGCCUCUGACCGUAGCUCAGCACCCGGACACGGGCCGGGCCGUGCUCGUCAUGGAGUUCCUGCAAAUGCGCUCGCUAAGGGCCCGGUCGGCUCAGCUGGGGCGCCAGCUCGCCAGGCUUCAUCUACAUAACAGUACUGCAAAGGAUGCGCAAAGCGCAGAAGCCUCACACGUAGGUGCGCCCGAAAAGCAGAUGGACUCGGCGGUUCAGCAGUUCGGCUUCCACGUUCCUACGUGCUGCGGUCGCAUCCCGCAGGCCAACACGUGGCACGACGACUGGCUGGAGUUCCUGACGCGGGUCAAGCUGCAGCCGCAGAUCGAGAUGAUUGAGCGGGAUUACGGCGAUCGGGAGGUUAUGGAGUUGUGGUCGCGACUGCUGCGCCGCCUACCGGAGUUCUUCCGAAACAUCAGUGUGGAGCCGGCGCUGCUGCAUGGUGACCUGUGGUCUGGAAACGCGGCUGAGGUGGACCAGGAGCCAGUGGUGUACGAUCCCGCCUCCUUCUAUGGACACGCCGAGUUCGAUCUCGGAAUCGCGAAGUGGUUCGGGGGAUUUGGAGCCGACUUCUACAGAGCCUACCACGAGCUGCUGCCAAGAAAGGCUGGCUUCGAGACCAGGAACAAGCUGUACCAGCUCUUCCACCACCUAAACCACUGGAAUCACUUCGGGUCCAGCUACCGCGGCGGUUCAGUGUCGCUGAUGAGGUCCCUGGUGGAACGGAAGUGACCGGACCGCGUCAUGCUGGCCUCUGACGCAGCUGACGCCACUGCCCGGUUAUCAGCUGACGUCACUGCCCAACCAUCGGCCGACGUCACUUCCCGGCCAUCAGCUGAUGGCUGGCGGAGAAUGCCACGAUGCCAGCUGCUUCCCAGACGUGCGGCGGUUCUGAGCCGGACACGGAGCUCAGAGUCCAUGCCCCUAGUCCAGAGUGCGCACCCUUAGUCCAGAGCCUGUGCUUGGGUCUAGAGUCCAGGCCCUGAGUCCAGGUGCGACCGAGUCGGGUUGGACGUGCUGUAGGCCUGGCUAAGCGGCCUUUUAGUCAGGCGCGGUGUGCAUGUUGCCGGCCGGGCCAGGCGGACCUGCCUUGAGUGUCUGGACCGGUCCCGUCGUCGGUGUCGGUGCUCCCGGUGCGGGCCGUCCCGGAGUGGGCACGUCGUCCUGACUCCUGCGUCAUGUCCGCGGCGGGGACAAGCGUCGAGCUUACACCGACCUGGUACACCAUGUGGCCGGCUUCAGCGGGGGCAGGUGUCGAUACGUGGUGGAGCAGGUGUGUUCAAGAAGUCUCGGGACAUACGUUCUCGGCGUUUAGGGUAACCCAGAGUGUCACGAUUUAAAGGACAACAGUCUGGCGUCAGUGGGUGCAAACUGCAGUUCGCUGUGUCAUGGUAGAAGGUGUGAUGCAAUGCUUAGUCCAUGUAUAUGGAUGUGCAUACUUGUGGAGUAGAAGCUGGUCAUAACUCCCAAUAAAAUAACCACUUUUGUUGAA
rnacentral:misc_RNA from 1 species